rnacentral:lncRNA from 1 species
AUAUAAUGUUAUGUGCGUGAUCAAUUUAAAUGGAAAGCUGUUCAAUUGCAGCGGAAUAGCGGAUUUUUAAAUACUUGGGUUGACGUCACUAAACUUUUCAAGAAGCGGUGCGCGCCGUCCGCGUUUGUGAAUAGAGACAGAACAGAACCGUGCGGGAACGAGAGAGAGCUGGGCGACAAGGAGACCGUACAAAACAAGGACUCUUUCACUUCAUUCGGAGAGAGGGAACUGAUGAGUCAGAGGGGAGGAUAGAUGAGUGACAGACACUACUAGUGGGUUCCAGACACACAAAUCCAAAUCAAGAAGGCUCCUGAUCCACUGCAGAGCCCAGGUCUCAGUACCACCAUAGAAGCUAUCGCAGUAUGAACCGAGCUUUCAACCGGAGAAAAGGUAACAGCUCACUGUAUUCAUUGAGUUCAUUUGAAAUAACACCAUGUUUCUUAUACACAAACAGCACAGUCUUUUGAAAGCAUGUUGACCUCAAGUACUUACCCACUGGGCAAGACCUGGUUGAAUCGACGUUGUUUCCAUGUCCUUUUUAAUCAAAUUUAAUGUGAUGACGUUGAAUCAGAGUGGAAAACUGGAUAAAAAUAAAUCAAUGUAAGGGAUUUUUUUAACCUAAAUAUAAUCUGAUUUUUUGGGGUUUGAUUUCAUGUUAGUUGACAACUGAACCAAAUGUAAAUCAAACUUUGACAUUGAAAUGAGGUCUGUGUCCAGUGGGUAGAGACAUUUCAUGUUGUACUUCUUUAUGGAAUAUAUGUGUUACUUACAGAACAUAAUGUAAAGGCAAUUUGUACCUACUCAGGUCAAUUUAAUUCCUGAUGAACAAAUGUCUCAAUUCUCUCAAUCUCUUCAUUAGUGUCUCUUUCUGUCGCUCUAGUAGUGUCUACACUUUACACUUACAUGUGACUUCUGCUGUCA